rnacentral:lncRNA from 1 species
UUUUUUCUUUUAUAUUAUAAUUUCCCUUGGUGUUAUACGCCUUUCAUGAGGAAAUAUAUUAUCAGAGGUCAGUUUUCUUCCUCUUGUUAGUGUAAUUUCUUUGAGCAUAUUUGAGAUUUCAAUGUUUUAAUUUAUUGGGUAUAGUAUUUAUGGAUUUAUUUGGUUUAUUUGAAUAUAAAAUAGCUAAAAUUUCACACUGGAUCUUUGGUAGGAGGUAGAAUGAACAUUUUUUUUCUUCCUUUGUUAGUGUAAUUUCUGAUGUUUCACUCUAGUAGUUUGUUUCUACUAAUUUGUUGGUAAUUUAUAGAUUUUUACGAAAU